rnacentral:rRNA from 1 species
GGCCCGAGUUGUAAUUUGCAGAGGAUGCUUUUGGCGCGGUGCCUUCCGAGUUCCCUGGAACGGGACGCCAUAGAGGGUGAGAGCCCCGUACGGUUGGACACCAAGCCUUUGUAAAGCUCCUUCGACGAGUCGAGUAGUUUGGGAAUGCUGCUCAAAAUGGGAGGUAUAUUUCUUCUAAAGCUAAAUAUUGGCCAGAGACCGAUAGCGCACAAGUAGAGUGAUCGAAAGAUGAAAAGCACUUUGAAAAGAGGGUUAAACAGCACGUGAAAUUGUUAAAAGGGAAGCGCUUAUGACCAGACUUGCGCCCGGUGAAUCACCCAGCUCUCGCGGCUGGGGCACUUUGCCGGCUCAGGCCAGCAUCAGCUCGCUGUCGGGGACAAAAGCUUCGGGAACGUAGCUCUCUUCGGGGAGUGUUAUAGCCCGUUGUAUAAUACCCUUCGGCGGGCUGAGGUACGCGCUCCGCAAGGAUGCUGGCAUAAUGGUCAUCAGCGACCCGUCUUGAAACACGGACCAAGGAGUCAACCUUAUGUGCGAGUGUUUGGGUGUUAAACCCCUACGCGUAAUGAAAGUGAACGCAGGUGAGAGCUUCGGCGCAUCAUCGACCGAUCCUGAUGUUCUCGGAUGGAUUUGAGUAAGAGCAUAUAGGGUUGGACCCGAAAGAAGGUGAACUAUGCGUGUAUAGGGUGAAGCCAGAGGAAACUCUGGUGGAGGCUCGCAGCGGUUCUGACGUGCAAAUCGAUCGUCA